GGGGGAUUAGCUCAGCUGGCUAGAGCGCCUGCCUUGCAAGCAGGAGGUCAUCGGUUCGACUCCGAUAUUCUCCAC
rnacentral:tRNA from 1 species